rnacentral:tRNA from 1 species
CUUAGCUCAGUUGGUCAGAGCAACUGGCUCAUAACCAGUGGGUCCAAGGUUCGAAUCCUUG